UUCAGGUCCCCCCGCAACGAUUACCCGUCAACCUGGUCAGGUCCGGAAGGAAGCAGCCA
rnacentral:SRP_RNA from 1 species